rnacentral:rRNA from 1 species
AGUGAACGCUGGCGGCAGGCCUAACACAUGCAAGUCGAACGGUAGCACUGUAAGAUCUUGUUCUUACGGGUGGCGAGUGGCGGACGGGUGAGGAAUACAUCGGAAUCUACUUUUUCGUGUGGGAUAACGUAGGGAAACUUACGCUAAUACCUCAUCCGACCUACGGGUGAAAGUAGUGGAUCUUCGGACUUUGCGCGAUUUAAUGAGCCGAUGUCGGAUUAGCUUGUUGGCGGGGUAAAGGCCCACCGAGGCGACGAUCCGUAGCUGGUCUGAGAGAAUGAUAGGCGGCAUGGGAGCGGGGACACGGUCAAGACUACUAAGAGAGGCAGCAGACGGGAAUAUUAGACAGUAGGGGCGAGCAUGAUACAGCCAGACAGCGUCGGUGGAAGAGACCUCGGGGUUGUGAUGACCGUUUGUCGGGAAAAAAAAGCAGCAAGUUAAGAAGAAGCUGGAGUGACGGUACCCAAAGAAUAAGCACCGGCUAACUUCGUG